rnacentral:rRNA from 1 species
UACGUAGGGUGCGAGCGUUGUCCGGAAUUAUUGGGCGUAAAGAGCUUGUAGGCGGUUUGUCGCGUCUGCUGUGAAAAUCCGAGGCUCAACUUCGGACUUGCAGUGGGUACGGGCAGACUAGAGUGUGGUAGGGGGAGACUGGAAAUUCCUGGUGUAGCGGUGGAAUGCGCAGAUAUCAGGAGGAACACCGAUGGCGAAGGCAGGUCUCUGGGCCACUACUGACGCUGAG